UCCGGUGGUAUACGAUGGAUCCGCGUCUGAUUAGCUGGUUGGCGGGGUAACAGCCCACCAAGGCGACGAUCAGUAGCCGGCCUGAGAGGGUGAACGGCCACAUUGGGACUGAGACACGGCCCAAACUCCUACGGGAGGCAGCAGUGGGGAAUAUUGCACAAUGGGGGAAACCCUGAUGCAGCAACGCCGCGUGGGUGAAGGAGCGUUUCGGCGCGUAAAGCCCUGUCAGCGGGGAAGAAGAAAGACGGUACCCGACCAAGAAGCCCCGGCUAACUACGUGCCAGCAGCCGCGGUAAUACGUAGGGGGCGAGCGUUAUCCGGAAUUACUGGGUGUAAAGGGAGCGUAGACGGCGAGGUAAGCCUGAAGUGGAAGCCCGCGGCCCAACCGCGGAACUGCUUUGGGAACUGUUUUGCUGGAGUAUGGGAGGGGUAAGCGGAAUUCCUGGUGUAGCGGUGAAAUGCGUAGAUAUCAGGAGGAACACCGGUGGCGAAGGCGGCUUACUGGACCAUAACUGACGUUGAGGCUCGAAAGCGUGGGGAGCGAACAGGAUUAGAUACCCUGGUAGUCCACGCCGUAAACGAUGAUUACCAGGUGUCGGGUGUC
rnacentral:rRNA from 1 species